CCUACGGGAGGCAGCAGUGAGGAAUAUUGGUCAAUGGGCGAGAGCCUGAACCAGCCAAGUCGCGUGAGGGAGUACUGCCCUAUGGGUUGUAAACCUCUUUUGUCGGGGAGCAAAAGCCGGACGUGUCCGGCUGUGAGAGUACCCGAAGAAAAAGCAUCGGCUAACUCCGUGCCAGCAGCCGCGGUAAUACGGAGGAUGCGAGCGUUAUCCGGAUUUAUUGGGGUUAAAGGGUGCGCAGGCGGAUUUUUAAGUCAGCGGUCAAAUCGUGGGGCUCAACCCCAUCCAGCCGUUGAAACUGGGGAUCUAGAGUGUGCGAGAGGUAUGCGGAAUGCGGGGUGUAGCGGUGAAAUGCAUAGAUAUCACGCAGAACCCCGAUUGCGAAGGCAGCAUACCGGUGCACAACUGACGCUCAGGCACGAAAGCGUGGGUAUCGAACAGGAUUAGAUACCCUUGUAGUC
rnacentral:rRNA from 1 species